GAGUUUGAUCUUGGCUCAGAUUGAACGCUGGCGGCAUGCCUUACACAUGCAAGUCGAACGGCAGCAUGAUCUAGCUUGCUAGAUUGAUGGCGAGUGGCGAACGGGUGAGUAAUACAUCGGAACGUGCCCUGUAGUGGGGGAUAACUAGUCGAAAGAUUAGCUAAUACCGCAUACGACCUGAGGGUGAAAGUGGGGGACCGCAAGGCCUCAUGCUAUAGGAGCGGCCGAUGUCUGAUUAGCUAGUUGGUGGGGUAAAGGCCCACCAAGGCGACGAUCAGUAGCUGGUCUGAGAGGACGAUCAGCCACACUGGGACUGAGACACGGCCCAGACUCCUACGGGAGGCAGCAGGUGGGGAAUUUUGGACAAUGGGCGAAAGCCUGAUCCAGCAAUGCCGCGUGUGUGAAGAAGGCCUCGG
rnacentral:rRNA from 1 species